rnacentral:rRNA from 1 species
GAUGAACGCUGGCGGCGUGCCUAAUACAUGCAAGUCGAGCGAACAGACGAGGAGCUUGCUCCUCUGACGUUGGCGGCGGACGGGUGAGUAACACGUGGAUAACCUACCUAUAAGACUGGGAUAACUUCGGGAAACCGGAGCUAAUACCGGAUAAUAUAUUGAACCGCAUGGUUCAAUAGUGAAAGACGGUUUUGCUGUCACUUAUAGAUGGAUCCGCGCCGCAUUAGCUAGUUGGUAAGGUAACGGCUUACCAAGGCGACGAUGCGUAGCCGACCUGAGAGGGUGAUCGGCCACACUGGAACUGAGACACGGUCCAGACUCCUACGGGAGGCAGCAGUAGGGAAUCAUCCGCAAUGGGCGAAAGCCUGACGGAGCAACGCCGCGUGAGUGAUGAAGGUCUUCGGAUCGUAAAACUCUGUUAUUAGGGAAGAACAAAUGUGUAAGUAACUAUGCACGUCUUGACGGUACCUAAUCAGAAAGCCACGGCUAACUACGUG